AGCGAACGCUGGCGGCAGGCCUAACACAUGCAAGUCGAACGAACCUUUCGGGGUUAGUGGCGGACGGGUGAGUAACACGUGGGAACGUGCCUUUAGGUUCGGAAUAACUCAGGGAAACUUGUGCUAAUACCGAAUGUGCCCUUCGGGGGAAAGAUUUAUCGCCUUUAGAGCGGCCCGCGUCUGAUUAGCUAGUUGGUUGAGGUAAUGGCUCACCGAGGCGACGAUCAGUAGCUGGUCUGAGAGGAUGAUCAGCCACAUUGGGACUGAGACACGGCCCAAAAUCCUACGGGAGGCAGCAGUGGGGAAUCUUGCGAAAGGGGCGAAAGCCUGACGCAGCCAUGCCGGGUGAAUGAUGAAGGUCUUAGGAUUGUAAAAUUCUUUCACCGGGGACGAUAAUGACGGUACCCGGAGAAGAAGCCCCGGCUAACUUCGUG
rnacentral:rRNA from 1 species